AGUGGAUGGGGAGCAACCUAGUUGUGCGUGUGUAAAGGUAGUGCCAAGAAAAGCGGUGAUCAUGAUGAAAAUCAAUUCCCGGUACCCGAAACCGACACAGGUGGGCAAGUAGAGAAUACUAAGGGGCGCGAGGUAACUCUCUCCAAGGAACUCGGCAAAAUGACCCCGUAACUUAGGGAGAGGGGGUGCCACCGAGAGGUGGUCGCAGUGAAGAGGCCCAGGCGACUGUUUAGCAAAAACAUAGGUCUCUGCAAACUCGAAAGAGGAGGUAUAGGGGCUGACGCCUGCCCAGUGCCGGAAGGUUAAAGAAGUUGGUCAGUCUUAGGAUGAAGCUGACGACCGAAGCCCCGGUGAACGGCGGCCGUAACUAUAACGGUCCUAAGGUAGCGAAAUUCCUUGUCGGGUAAGUUCCGACCCGCACGAAAGGCGUAACGAUCUGGGCGCUGUCUCGGAGAGAGGCUCGGCGAAAUAGGAUUGUCUGUGAAGAUACGGACUACCUGCAUUUGGACAGAAAGACCCUAUGAAGCCUUACUAUAGCUUGGAAUUGUGUUCGGGCUUCCUGUGCGCAGGAUAGGUGGGAGGCGUAGAAGGUAUUCUUGUGGGGAUACUGGAGCCAACGGUGAGAUACCACUCUCAGGAGGCUAGAAUUCUAACUUAAUUAAGGACAGUUUCAGGUGGGUAGUUUGACUGGGGCGGUCGCCUCCAAAAAGGUAACGGAGGCGUACAAAGGUUCCCUCAGACUGGUUGGAAAUCAGUCGAAGAGUGCAAAGGCAGAAGGGAGCUUGACUGCGAGAAGUACAGUUCGAGCAGGGUGGAAACACGGUCUUAGUGAUCCGACGGUGCUGUGUGGAAGGGCCGUCGUUCAACGGAUAAAAGUUACUCUAGGAUAACAGGCUGAUCUCCCCCAAGAGUUCACAUCGACGGGGAGGUUUGGCACCUCGAUGUCGGCUCAUCGCAACCUGGGGCGGAAGUACGUCCCAAGGGUUGGGCUGUUCGCCCAUUAAAGCGGUACGUUAGCUGGGUUCAGAACGUCGUGAGACAGUUCGGUCCAUAUCCGAUGUAGGCGUGAGAAUAUUGAGAGGAGCCUUCCUUAGUACGAGAGGACCGGGAAGGACGCACCACUGGUGUACCUGUUAUGAUGCCAAUUGUAAACGCAGGGUAGCCAAGUGCGGAGAGGAUAACCGCUGAAAGCAUCUAAGUGGGAAGCCCACCUCAAGAUGAGUAUUCUGGUGUAAGGUCACGGGAAGACGACCCGUAAAUAGGCACGAGGUGGAAGUGCAGAGAUGUAUGAAGCCGAAGUGUACUAAUAGACCGUCGGCUUGAC
rnacentral:rRNA from 1 species